UACGUAGGUGGCAAGCGUUAUCCGGAAUUAUUGGGCGUAAAGAGCGCGCAGGUGGUUGAUUAAGUCUGAUGUGAAAGCCCACGGCUUAACCGUGGAGGGUCAUUGGAAACUGGUCGACUUGAGUGCAGAAGAGGGAAGUGGAAUUCCAUGUGUAGCGGUGAGAUGCGUAGAGAUAUGGAGGAACACCAGUGGCGAAGGCGGCUUCCUGGUCUGUAACUGACGCUGAGGCGCGAAAGCCAGGGGAGCAAACGGGAUUAGAUACCCGU
rnacentral:rRNA from 1 species